rnacentral:rRNA from 1 species
UCUUGCAGCGAUAACACGUUGAAUUUACCAGAUUGUUUUCUCAGUUCCCAUUAGAUCACUGAAGUUAAGCAACGUUGAACCUGGUUGGUAUUCGUGAGGGUGACCUGGGCAAUUGUGUAGGUACUGCUGGCU